rnacentral:rRNA from 1 species
UGGGGAAUCUUCCGCAAUGGGCGAAAGCCUGACGGAGCAACGCCGCGUGAGUGAAGACGGCCUUCGGGUUGUAAAACUCUGUGAUUCGGGACGAAAGAUAAGCAGACGAAUAAUCUGCAUAAGUGACGGUACCGAAAAAGCAAGCCACGGCUAACUACGUGCCAGCAGCCGCGGUAAUACGUAGGUGGCAAGCGUUGUCCGGAAUUAUUGGGCGUAAAGCGCGCGCAGGCGGCUACUUAAGUCCAUCUUAAAAGUGCGGGGCUUAACCCCGUGAUGGGAUGGAAACUGAGAAGCUGGAGUGUCGGGGAGGAAAGUGGAAUUCCUAGUGUAGCGGUGAAAUGCGUAGAGAUUAGGAAGAACACCGGUGGCGAAGGCGACUUUCUGGGCGACAACUGACGCUUAGGCGCGAAAGCGUGGGGAGCAAACAGG